GCAGGGUGGCCGCCCAGUAAUCAGCAGAAGUUAGAAUGUGGGCAUCUCGGCAGUCGUUGCGCAGGUACUUUGGUGACUCUAGAUAACUUCGGGACGAUCGCACGUCCCUGUGACGGCGACAACGCAUUCGGAUGUCUGCCCUGUGGACUUUCGAUGGUACUUUCUGCGCCUAGCAUGGUGACCACGGGCAAUGGGGAAUCAGGGUUUGAUUCGGGAGAAGGAGCCUGAGAAACGGCUACCACAUCCAAGGAAGGCAGCAGGCGCGCAAAUUACCCACUCCCGAUGCGGGGAGGUAGUGAC
rnacentral:rRNA from 1 species